UUCCUGAACCUCUUUGGUGUGUGGUUGGACUAAACCCCACUGGAACUCCGUGCAGAGACCCUUCCUGCCUCUCCGUUAGCGACUGCUAUCCAUGAGAUUACUCCACUGAUCUUCUGGGGAGUCUGACAGCUCGUUUGGGAAUGCUCACUUGUGCUGUAGUUAAAAGAGCUUUCAGGAGGCUGAAGUACCAAGAUCUGCUUCAGUGGACAAUCAAAACAUUUCAAAGUGCUGCCAAGGGUAACCAAUCACCAGUCAUGGGUUGGAGGAUGAGGGCAGUGACCUCUUGGCACCAGGGCUGUCCCACCUUCUGGCUUCCACCUCGGAGCAGACCCCAUCCCUCCUCUUCUCCGCUAGUUUAUAUUUAUGCUGUUGCUGUCACCUGUAUUAAUAAACACAAAAACCAGUGAAAAAUGCU